CCCUAUACAAGAAGAUUUUUGUGGUCAAAUAGNUGAGAAGUACUGUCCAGUAAAGUAAACUUUAAAACUAAACACUGAGAAUUUCCAAUACGCCAGUACAACGUCAACCUCUCUGCCUGGUUCAAGGUGUUGUAAAAUAACUACAAUUGAGAUAAAUUAUGAUUAAAGAUAAAUAUGUGCAUAUGCAUGAAAGGUUUGGCUUAGGUAUUUUGAAAAUUUUGAAUCAGUGAGAAGCAUGUCAACCUGGUAAUAGGGAAGUUGUGUAUUUAAAUUUAUGACUUUCAAUAGAGAUAAAACCAUGUCAAAGAAUUAAAUCAGACACAGAUAUAGACUAAGGAGUACUAAAAAAAGCUAAGGUAUGAAGAAGUUAAAAAUAAUAAGUACUAGUUUCGAAAGGUUGGCAAAAAUCCCGUUGAUAACCCUCCAGCGUUCCCAUUUCCAGGAUAGCAUAAAAACAGAAGCAAAACAAUCAUGUUAGGAAUAACGACCCUCCAAGAAUAUCUAAUACCCACAAGAAUUUGAUGCAAACCACAAACAAUCAAGGAUAUUUAACGAAUUCUUAUUUGACGAAUAAU